GAGGAAUAUUGGUCAAUGGGCGAGAGCCUGAACCAGCCAAGUCGCGUGAGGGAAGAAUGGUCUAUGGCCUGUAAACCUCUUUUGUCAAGGAAGAAUAAGCGGCACGAGUGCCACCUUGCCAGUACUUGACGAAUAAGCAUCGGCUAACUCCGUGCCAGCAGCCGCGGUAAUACGGGGGAUGCGAGCGUUAUCCGGAUUUAUUGGGUUUAAAGGGCGCGUAGGCGGGACGGCAAGUCAGCGGUAAAAGACUGCAGCUAAACUGUAGCACGCCGUUGAAACUGUCGACCUGGAGACGAGACGAGGGAGGCGGAACAAGUGAAGUAGCGGUGAAAUGCAUAGAUAUCACUUGGAACCCCGAUAGCGAAGGCAGCUUCCCAGGCUCGAUCUGACGCUGAUGCGCGAGAGCGUGGGUAGCGAAC
rnacentral:rRNA from 1 species